GAUGAACGCUGGCGGCGUGCCUAAUACAUGCAAGUCGAGCGAACGGACGAGAAGCUUGCUUCUCUGAUGUUAGCGGCGGACGGGUGAGUAACACGUGGAUAACCUACCUAUAAGACUGGGAUAACUUCGGGAAACCGUAGCUAAUACCGGAUAAUAUUUUGAACCGCAUGGUUCAAAAGUGAAAGACGGUCUUGCUGUCACUUAUAGAUGGAUCCGCGCUGCAUUAGCUAGUUGGUAAGGUAACGGCUUACCAAGGCAACGAUGCAUAGCCGACCUGAGAGGGUGAUCGGCCAAACUGGAACUGGAACACGGUCCAGACUCCUACGGGAGGCAGCAGUAGGGAAUCUUCCGCAAUGGGCGAAAGCCUGACGGAGCAACGCCGCGUGAGUGAUGAAGGUCUUCGGAUCGUAAAACUCUGUUAUUAGUGAAGAACAUAUGUGUAAGUAACUGUGCACAUCUUGACGGUACCUAAUCAGAAAGCCACGGCUAACUACGUG
rnacentral:rRNA from 1 species